rnacentral:rRNA from 1 species
UACGAGGGGUGCAAGCGUUGCUCGGAAUUACUGGGCGUAAAGCGCGUGUAGGCUGACCGGAAAGUCGGGCGUGAAAGCCCUGGGCUCAACCCAGGAACUGCACUCGAAACUCCCGGUCUAGAGUGGUGGAGAGGGAAGUGGAAUUCCUGGUGUAGAGGUGAAAUUCGUAGAUAUCAGGAGGAACACCAGUGGCGAAGGCGGCUUCCUGGACACCAACUGACGCUGAGACGCGAAAGCGUGGGGAGCAAACAGG